AACCCGUGAUGAGGGCAAGAGAGAAGCAACUCUUUAAAUCUCUCCCAGCAUUCAUAAAAUAUUUCAUGGUCUUUUUGUUGGAAAUGUUAGAUGUAUGCCCUAGAAGCC